GACGUAGGUGGCGAACGUUAUCCGGAAUUAUUGGGCGUAAAGGGUGCGUAGGUGGGCCUGUAAGUCAGCGGUGAAAUCUCCGGGCUUAACCCGGAAACUGCCAUUGAUACUAUAGGUCUUGAAUUAUCUGGAGGUAAGCGGAAUAUGUCAUGUAGCGGUGAAAUGCUUAGAUAUGACAUAGAACACCAAUUGCGAAGGCAGCUUACUACGGAUCGAUUGACACUGAGGCACGAAAGCGUGGGGGGAUCAAACAGG
rnacentral:rRNA from 1 species